rnacentral:rRNA from 1 species
AACGCUGGCGGCGUGCCUAACACAUGCAAGUCGAACGAGAAAGUGGAGCAAUCCAUGAGUAAAGUGGCGACCGGGUGAGUAACACGUGACCAACCUACCCUCGAGUGGGGAACAACCUCGGGAAACCGGGGCUAAUACCGCAUAAUGUCUUUGGGGUGCAAUUCCCUGGGGAUCAAAGGAGCAAUUCGCUUGAGGAGGGGGUCGCGGCUGAUUAGCCAGUUGGCGGGGUAAUGGCCCACCAAGGCGAAGAUCGGUAGCCGGCCUGAGAGGGCGCACGGCCACACUGGAACUGAAACACGGUCCAAACUCCUACGGGAGGCAGCAGUGGGGAAUUUUGCGCAAUGGGGGAAACCCUGACGCAGCAACGCCGCGUGGAGGAUGAAGUCCUUUGGGACGUA